CCUACGGGAGGCAGCAGUGAGGAAUAUUGGUCAAUGGCCGGAAGGCUGAACCAGCAAAGCCGCGUGAAGGACGAAGGUGCCAAGCAUUGUAAACUUCUUUUGUCAAGGGAAAAAAUCAGGCUCGAGAGCCUGACCGAGGGUACUUGAAGAAAAAGCAUCGGCUAACUCCGUGCAAGCAGCCGCCGUAAUACUGAGGAUGCGAGCGUUGUCCGGAUUUAUUGGGUUUAAAUGGUGCGUAGGCGGGCUGUUAAGGCAGCGGUAAAAGCCCGGGGCGAAACCCCGGCGAGCCGUUGAACCUGGCUGUCUUGAGAUGUCGAGAGGUAUGCGGAAUGCGCAGUGUAGCUGUGAAAUGCUUAGAUAUUGCGCAGAACUCCGAUUGCGAAGGCAGCAUACCGGCGGCGAUCUGACGCUGAGGCACGAAAGCGUGGGUAUCGAACAGGAUUAGAUACCCCUGUAGUC
rnacentral:rRNA from 1 species